GCCACCUCCACGUGGUGUGACCUGGUAAUCGGUAUCGUCGUCUAAACAUUUAUCAAAGGAUCAUUUUUAGAAAACGAUACCGAGCUGAACGCUACGAUUCGCGAAGAUAAAGUAGUAACAUAAAUUUCAUUAUUGCUGAUGAAUAUAACUUUGAAAUUAAUUACUUUUUUUUAUCGUGUGACUAAUUUGGAUUGAAAUGUAUUAUUUUAAAAGAAAAAUGAUAAAUUAGGAAUAGAGGAUCGUACACCCCUCUGGUUAAGGAACAUAGGUACAGAUAUGCAAUAUAUUUGUUCGAUCGUAUAAUUUUAUUUCGAAACAUCGAGUUCCCUGACGUCUAAGUGUCUGCAAUGCUGAUACCAAUGACAAAAUGAUCGUUAAGUUAUUAUUAUCGACGAUUUGUUAAGCAUUAUUAAUAAUUAGGGCCAAGCUGCGUCAGCGUUUCUUUUCUCCAAGUCUUGUGUUUUCUCACGUUGGGAGUAGGAAAGGGAAGUAGGAAGAUAUGAAGAACGCGAGCCCUCAAUUUAUUCUUCUUUUUCUUUUUUUCUUUCUUUCUUGGUUCGCUUCUUUCCAUUCGCACAUUCAAUCAAGUAAUUCGUUCUUCUCACAAAGAACACACUUUCUUAUUUAUUCUUUACGAUCUUAUUCUUCUGAUAUGUUCGCGCCCACACACAUGCAUACACAACAUUCAUACUUAUUUUUCUUGUCCUUUGGCACAAAGUUAUCCGGCACUCUGUUUAGCGGUGACUAGCAACGGGUACCUUCUUCACCGUGGCCAAAACAAUACCGGUAUGAAGAGAAACAUCGACAAACAGUGCGAUAAUUUCUUGUUACAUCCAAACGAUCCUCUCACAUUGUUACUUGCACCUGAACUUUGUGCAGCCUCGGCUAAACCUGAACAGUAAAAACAACUUGUAUCAUUUCCUUUCUAUUCCGACUGUAAUUAGCAGAAUCGUAUAACUAUCUUGACCACCUUAAUUAUUUCCAAUAAAAAUUGCAUGGUUUCAAAGGAUUUGCAAAGUAAUCACUUUAGGAUUAUUUUUUCGUUAAUUAAUUAUGAAAAAUUAAUGACUCACCACCGAUAAUGGAUACGUGAUCUUUUCCACGCGAUGAUCUGUCAGAGCUAAUUUUAAUUUCUGAAACGAAACGAUAUAUAUUAUUUAUCUUAGAAUUUUCCUUUCCUCCAUUUAUUUCUAAAAUGUAAAAUGCUUACCGUAUAGUCUCAAAGUGCCAUCAGCUUUACCAAGACUGUUCGUCGAGACGCAUUUAUAACUCCCCACGUCCUGUUCCGUGAAUCCUUUGAUUAACAGCCACAUCAAAACUUUAUACCCGGAUCGUUCUUCCCGCACGUUGUACUUGAGUCUGUAUUAUUCAAUAAGAUUUGUUAAUCAUCGGCAAAUAUUCAUAAUAUUCGAAUGGAAGAAAAAGACAUAACCUUACCCCUCGAGCAACAUUUCAUCUUCCGCUCCUCGUCGAUUUUUUACCCAAUAAUUAAUUGUAUUCGGAAAUGCCUCCACGUAACAUUCCAGCUGCACAUCCGUUCCCAAGGGUGCUCCCAAUAACUGAUUAGGCGCUUUGACCACGGGUGCAACUAUUCGAGUAAUUGCACAUUAAUUAGUAUGAAAUAGAAUCGAAAAGAAAUUAAAAUUGAUAUCUAAUUUUCUCAAAAGAUCUGCUUCGAACAUGAAAUUUUCAUAUGUAAUCUAUAAUAAUGAAUCAUUAGUAUUAUGUAUAUUUGCUCUAAUGUUAUAGCUGAUUAUUUUAAGAAAAAAUCAAUUAAUACGUUUAAAAUAGAUAUAAUGUAUUCUGUGUUAAUACCCUAUUAUCAGCAUUCGAAUAACAAUACGAAAUUGUAAAAUCUAUAUCACAUUAUUAACUAAUUAAUUCUCGGCCGGUAUCUAUUGUUUUCGAACAAUUAAUACCGAUCUCAUUUAUGCAAAUCCUUCGGUAUUAACCUAUAUUAUUCCGUACUCAAACAAAUGUUUAUCACAACGAUAUAUGAAAUUCAUCAAUUAUUACGAUACUAAAACUAGAGCGUUUUUCGUAACAAUGCCGGUCGAAAAUGUUUGCAAUCUGUAUCUUCGUUUGUGAAACAUAAGCAAUUAAAAAUUGGGUGAUCAGAAUGAUCCGUCUCGUGACUACGGAACUUGUUGUUACGUCAGCGACGGUAGGGUUGUCUUUUGUCAGUGGCGAAAGCCUUUCUACCGGAUACAAUCAGGGGAUUAGGAGGAAAACGAGCUUACAAUUCACAGCGAGUGUCACUCGCUUGCUAACGGCAGGCGGCACGUCGUUGCUGGCGAUGCACAGAUACGCUCCCAUUUGUCGCCUCUCAACACGAUGGAAUUGCAGCAGAGAACCAUUGUAGCUUUCGUGCCUUUCGAACGUGCUACCACCUGAGUACAAAGAAAAACAUUUUUCUCUCUGCAUCGCAUAAUUUUAUAAAUGAAUUUAUCUUAAAUAAUGAGUCCAGAAUCGAGGGAAUCGUAAAAAAAACAAAACAAAAAGGAUUAUAGAAAUAAUAUAGGAAAUCGGCAACAGUAAGUCGCGAUGUCAGAUAUGAAAGAUUACAAACGGAAAGUCGCGAAAUGGAAGGAACAUUAUUUCUCGGUAUAAGAUGUUACAAGUUGCCAGAGUGAAACUCCGAUCUAAACGAUUCCCAGAUAGAACUUUUAACCGGGUCGAAACCGCAGACUAAUGCAUCCGAGCGAAGAAACUAUCUUGAAAGUCGAGUAGGAAAACGGAAGCGUGUUGCACGGUAGAGAAGGGUAGACGGUUUAAAGAGAGGUAGAAAAUCGAAACACACAGCGCCGUAAGGCGAAAGAAGAGACGAGAAGAUAUAUGCUUAAUUCACUACUUAGGUAGCUAACGAGUUCCUUAAGUGAGCGAACGCUAACGAGUUUGCAAAGCUCGUAAGAAAAGCAUCAUUGUCAGAUAGAGGAGCGACACGAGUUGUAGGCGAACGGUGGUUUUAUGUAUCUACAACGAAAGUAACAACACAAACGAACAAAUUUCAUUUUCCUUCUUUUCUUAUUUCUAUUUCAAUCGAGAGAAUAAUUUGUCAGAUAGAGGAGCGAUACGAGUUGUAGGCGAACGAUGGUUUUAUGUAUCUACAACGAAAGUAACAACACAAACGAACAAAUUUCAUUUUUCUUCUUUUCUUAUUUCUAUUUCAAUCGAGAGAAUAAUUUUUGCAACAAAUUUCUAUCGUUUACUGUCAAUUUCUUUGUCUUCCUAAAACAAAGUGGAAAUUAUUUUAUUAAUUCAAAGAGAUUGUCUUUUUAUUCGAGCGAUGAAUCGAGCGCUAGUUAAAUUCUCGCUAACUAUCACGUAAUAAAGAAGAGCGUCUACAGUGAAAAAGACAAAUACGAUGGAGUUUCGAAGCGUUCAGCCGCAUUUAAAGAGAGGUGGGAGACAGUGCAACUACAUCGACCAAAGUUUUGCCAACUCGAGCCUCCUACACGAGAAACUACCACGUGCUUUCACCCUUUCAACUUGUGCACGUGUAUGUGUGCAAACGAUCUUACACGUAAACGCACACCAUUGUCUGAGCUUACAAGUGUGCGAGCCUUGGUGGUUCGUUUUACGAUCUCUACACCGUAUGUACUUACACGAUUCCUAAGUUCCACUAGGAACGCGUGUGCACCGUACAAGACACUAUGAAGGGGAUUAUCAUCCCUCUGUUUCUUUACACGCACACCCGAUGUUCCUGUCUUCGAGUUCAAGAAGUGAAACUUGUUUCAACGAGCUGCCUCGUUAUAUCUACUCGACUAUCUUCUUACGUUCAAUCUGUGUGUUCGCGUUGAAAAUUUCCCGGCAUUUCACUUUGCGAUAUUACCAACGAACCGAGCAAAGCCAUCCUUAUUAUCCGUGUCGUACAAAAAGGACAGAUGGAACGGUAUUUUUACAAAUUUUCUGCAUUUCUACAGAAAGAUAUUAUGAAAUUAUCAUCGUAGGAAUAUUAAUUCUAAGAUUCAAGUUUCUUUUUUAAAUAAUUCAUUAAAUAAAUUAUCGAAGAAUUUGUCAGUAACUUGACUUAAGGUGGCAUAAAUGGUUUAGUUUCGAACGGAAAAUUUAUACAAAGUUACGGCAGUAAAUCAGGUAUACAUUAGUAUGUAUAUAAUCGUGGUCUUACGUGCACCUUCAUACAUAUAAUCAUAUUAUUCGAGUAAGUCCUCCUUUUCGUACGAGGGAGGACUUCGACGUAACUAGGUUAUUAGUGCCACCUAAUUACCCUAUUAAUAUCGAACUAAUGUACAGUCACAUGGCGGUGAAUAGCGAAUAUCCUUUGGUACUUACGGGACCGAACCGUCUGCUAGUUAAACUUCGAGCUACGUGAAUACUAUCAUGAAGUAAUUAACACAGUACCGUACAAAUAAUGCAUGCAAAUUAAUCACUUAUGCACUUAAAUCCUAUGCAUCUCCUGAACCAGCGACGGGAGUUAUUGUAAAAAUAAAAAGGAAAAAUGAUAUUAAAUGUUCUUUUACACGGUUUCGAUAUUAAUAGGACAAAGUAUACCGCAAACAAACGAUUCGAUAUGACAAAGCAUGCUUUCAAAGGAAGAAAAAAAAGAACCAAGUUCGACGAAACAUAAUUUAUAUUUUACUAUUGAUAUUAGCGGCAUAAAGCAGAAUAACGAUUGCCGGUUAUAAGCAAUGUAAUAAAGCUCAGUCUUUAUCGCGAAUAAAGCAGAAGAAGGAACAACAGAAAGGCGAACAAAGGAAGUAAUGGGUAGCAAACGAAAUUAAACCUUCGUCGUUUCUCUGCUCUUUUUUUUUUUUUUUCUUUCUUUCUACGGAAAGAAGUCUGUCCGCGAAGGUAUCCAUGAGUUUUAUAGUGUCAUUAUGUACCGGCAGAAGAGGCCCUUAUGAGAAUGGGUUCUCCGUCUUCCCUUCGCCAGGACACUCUUGGGGUUGGUCUUCCGGUUGCGCUACAGCUUAGAGUUGCAUUGUCCCCUUCCGAAACUGCCAAGUCCGCGCUAGUAUCACCUCCAUAAACGAUAUCCGGUGGUACUGUUUCACAGAAAUGAAAAAUAAUUAUUGCCUCGAUAAUUGACCGUGUGAUAAUUAAUCGUGUAUUUAAUCAUCCUUUCAGAAUUUCUAUUUUUCAUUCAUUAUUCAGUGUUUCGAAAUUCAGACAAAAUGUGAUCCUUCGUUAGGGGAAGAAGUGUUAAUUCUGUCAGGCAAGAAUUAAGUAAAAGUUUAUAGUUGGCAAAGGACGUAAAGUUUUUAAAAGAACCUUCUAUAAGCGGUGCUUUGACAAGGGAAACUCUACGGAACAGGUGGCUUUUAAUGUUUGGUUAGUAUAAUUAGAGUCGAUUUAGGAUCGUGGUAAAAAGUUAGAAACCUAGGAAGAAAUUACAAAUGUUUUUAAAACGGUAAGAAGAUAAUUAUUAUCUUUCCUAAGUACACUCUUCGUAUUUAAUCUUCGUAAAGAAAUUCAUGACUUACGAAAGUUUACUAGAAGACUUUUUCUUAUAUCUAGUCAGCAAUUAUGUGAAAAAAAUGAUAUCGAAAAUAUUUUCUCGAACGAGAAAAGUUGCGUUAACAAAGUUCGACGAGUUUUCCGCGAAGUAACGAUUGGUAAUAAGGUGAAAAAGUUUUUUCGUUGCUUUAAAGUAUCGAAGGUUCGCGAAAAAAAAGAAGAAAGAUAUACGUAGCAAAGAAUAAUUUAAUGAAUAACCACGAUAUAACUUCCGGACAAAAGUUUCUUUCGUACUUUACACGUUAUCUCGGUCACGGAAGUUUUAAUGUCGUAGCAAUUUAAAUUACGCUCGCGUUUGAACAGAAAGAUUAAACGUCCGAUUACUAUAUGACUAUAUUAACCCUCUGUCACUUCGGGGAACUAACAUUCAUUACAGUCUACGACUAACUACGAUAUAUUUCAUCGGCGACACCGUGCACAUAUACAAUUUCUAUCGAUUUAAACUCUACGCUAUUGUAUUGCGUGAGAAAUUAUGGAAACGGCUUGCACCCUCGUCGAUAACCCUUCAUCAAAUUAACAUUGUUGAUUUAGUCGAUUACAUCGGUCGAAUUUAUUGAAAGCAAUCCCGAUAUCGUGUUUCUAGAAAUUUUCUAAAUUAACAAAAUUUAACUCUUUGAUACUUGUGAGAAAAAGAAAUGAAAUUUCUUACCAAGAAUAUCCAGACAUCCUAGUUCAGAUAUCAUCGGGCUGGUGUUAAUUUGACACAUGUAACAAUCUCUAUCCGAUUCCUUUAACUGACGAAUGUGUAGCCGCCACGUGCCGUUGACGACUUCCUCCGUGGGCUGGCUACUUCCUGUCACACCGAAGGCGUUUGCGGAUGCCACGCCGGACCCGGAACUUCCGCCGGUUUCGUACGAGACCGCGAUACGUGCAUUGUGCGUUACCGUUCUCGUGUGAACCGACAGAAUCGUGUGGUCCGAAGCACGUAGCCAUCCAACCUGUAAGGACCCAUUGUCAUUUUCCUAUUUCUAUUCUAACGCGUGAUCGUAAAUGUCUAAUCAUAUCUAAUCAAUUUAUAGAAGCUGAAAAAUUCUUAUCAUCUUUUCAUCGGUCGAAUAAAAAUUUCUCUCAGCCGGUUAUUGAAAUAAAACAACGUUCAUAAGUUUGGAUAGUAUUUUCUGUUAGAAAACGAUCUUCGGAAACUAUUUGGUACGAACGGGGGAGCCGGGCUUAUCUUAAUCCAUCCCUGCCUGCCAAGCUGCCUUGAGUGGCUUUCUAUAGACCGAAUAUUUCAUCUAGCCGGAUACUUUAAGGGUGGAAUCUGUCGCCAGAGAAAAUGUGUCUCCUCCAUCUCUACUUACUCUCCAAUUCUUUCCCCCCUUUCUCAUUCUCUCUGAUCACGCUCUAUCCUUUUCUUUAUACUUUCUAUACCUUCACGCCUUUUAUCCUUCUCCUUUGGAAUAUCGAAAUUUUGAUCGGAAAACUUAUUAAAUAUAGCCAAAGUCGGGUGGGAGGACGACUCUCGGUCAGAUUAGAGCGAAGAAAAAUUUUUCAUAAAUAUCUUCUGAAUUGUCAGCGGGGGAUAAAGAUGGUCUUUUUUCAUUACUAUAGAGAUUGAAAGUUUAUCCGAAUAAAUUGAUAUUCGAAGUUUUAAAAGAUUAUACCGAAUCGGCAUUGCGAAAGAGGGUGGUAUGUAAAUUGAGGUGUUUUUCUUUUUCAAAAUUCACGUCAGCUUUUUAUUUUCCAUGUAAUUACCUUGUAUUUUCCAAUGUUGCGAACACUGCAAGAGAAAACAACUUCGCGACCAAUUGCAGCCGUUUGGUUUCCAACCGGUGCAACCACCACGGGACCGCUAGAAGUGCUUGUGUCUGAAAUAAAAAAUAACAAAAUGGUAUUUAAUCAUCGCCAGUGCCAUUUCUCGCGAUCUCAUCGAAUCGUGUCAGGCUUUCAGUGUUUCGAAGUAGGCCAUUCGAUGCGAUUCGUGUAGAAUGUAAAUGAAACGUGACGGGAACUUAAGGGAUGACCCAAUAUUUUGUACGUACAGUUGAGCGAAGAACGAAAAGUGAAAGGUUGAAAAAAAGAAAAGGAAAAAGAGGGUAGGAACAUUAGUUUAUUAAAGCCCAGUAAAUCGCUGCAUCGACAGAUUCCUGUCUUUUCGCAACGAGAGCAAAUAUUUCACGAGCGUUAACGGGACAGCACGACAUUACUCUUGUCUCGUACGUUUCGAGCCGAGAUUUUUCUGUUCUCUACGCGGUAUCUUCAUUUUCUAUGUGUCUCUAUAUCCUCUUGCGCAUUCACGUCCCGACCAUUUCUUUUCCACUUUCCGGCGAACAACCCUCGUGUGUUGUCUUUCAAUCUUCCCCUUAGCAAUUGAACGCGAACAAACAUCGCGAUAUUCAAAUUGCUUGCAACAAAUGUUAACCAUGUUUUUCUUCCUCUAAUUUUUAUGAAGCUUUCAAUAAAGAAAAGAAAUAUUUGAAAUGAUUACCCCCUGGUUUUGUAGAGAUCGCUGAUCGAGAGGAUUCGGUAAAUUGUGAAAGUGCUGAAAUUGCAGACGUUUAGGGAUGAUGGAGGAUUCAGACAGUGAAACGAUACGAUGCAUUCGUCUUUUUUUUUUUUUUCCUUCGAUGUCGUUUUACUUUGGUCGGAAUACCUUCUGUUUUCACAGGCGUUCUCAUUUAUGCGGCUUUCUAGCCCACCCCGUUCUUUUCCUGUCCGCUCCAUCCCUUCUAUUUUCUUCCUUUUCGCCAGACGAGCACCAUCUUUCACGUCUUAUUUUUUUUCAUCCACUGUUACCCUUUUCUCGUACUUCUUCGCCGGUUUUCUUCGGAUAGCAAAAGGACCACUCUCGACGUAAGUAAUAUCUAAAUUGCUUCCACCGUUUCAAUUUCUCCCCUUUCUUUUCUUUCUUAUUCCUUUUUGUCGACACGACAGAUCGAAAUAAAUUAGAAGAAAAUGUUGCGGAAUCAAGCAAUUGAAGCAUAAAAGCGUAGUACACCUUACUUCGUUUUUUUUUUUCUUCUUUUCUUCGUUUCGUCCAUAAAGAUUUCCUCAGAUUGUUGUCGUUUCAAUCUUCCUCGCCGACUUCCUCUUUCAAGUAUCUUUCGAGUGAUUCUUAUGAUUAAAUGAAGGAAAUUUCAUUUCACUGUUUUAUCUGGCACGAUAAACGAUUUAACAAACUGUUAAAUUUAUUCAGAUUUCCAAUGAAAGACUAACGAUAAGGAAACAUUUGAUGCAAAUGACUAUAUGAACGUUUCAUCGAUACUGUUCGCUGAAACGAACAAUAGAUGAACUAAUUUUCAACUUAGUAUUGUCUAUUAGAGAAACAAUAGCCAUAGAAAUAUCCAACGUGACCAUUUUCAUUUAUAUACACUAUCGGUAUUCAUUAAAAUGUUUCUGAAUUAUUUAUUAUAAUAAUAGUCAAGUUUCUUUUUAAUAAAUCAAAAACUACCUACCAUCUAUAGCAAUGAUAGGGUGACUCACCCUGUAUAUAUUUUUUCUUUACAAGAAUACACUUUUAUCUUACGUAAAUUCGGUCAAAUGUAUUACAGGUAUUAUACAGGGUUAUCGUGUCGAUGGAAACUGGGCCAAACGUUUCGCGUCGUCGAUUUUCAUAAUGAUAUUGCAAUUAACUUCGGUCUCUUGACAACAGAUAUACUAUAAGUAUUUCGCGCGCCCCUCUUUAACCCUCUGGGAAGAUAUGGUCGUUGUUAUUUUAGACGUAUAUUUAUCCACAAGACAUUUUCUCUGACACACUUGAACAGAUCAAAUAAUAAUAUACCUUCCCCGUUUCUUCUUCUUCUACUUUUUCCUGUUUCACCUGCUGCCGUAUAACCGAAGAAAAAUAAUCAAUCAUCCCCUCGACGUUUCGCAAUUUUCACCUUUCGAUCAUUCCUACCUCUUCGUCCCCCCACCCUCUAGAUCAUCUCGUUUCUUGCUAAAAGUACCGUGAAACAAACUCCGUUCAAAGAAUUAAUGUUCUUUUCCAAGUGUUGUAUAUAACAAAAUUAAUUAUUUUUUCAUUUAACUAAUUAACAAGGAGUAAUUUAUGAGGUACGAAAUAAGCCUUCGUUGAUGGUUUCAAAAAAGUACUUUGAUAGCUUGAAGGCUAAUCAUCGAUACAACCCCCUGGUACCCAUCACGCGUUUCAACCCCUUUCUUCUUUUUCUUUGUUUUUUCUUUUUUUUUUUUUUUGAAACGCGAAGGAAGAAUAAAAAGGGGGGACACUCGUACGAUAGCUGUUGACUAAGAAGGAAAGGAAGAGAAAACGGGGAUGACACGAGAGAGGGUGAGAAAGGUUCAGGUCGGUGGAGCAGAAGGAAAUCCCCUUCCGGGAAUUCCUUGUUUCCGACCUCGAUCGAUUUUUUCCCUCGCGAGCUGCAGCCUGCCGUAGCUACGUAUCUUCUGCUCGAAAUGAGAUCGGAUCUCAAGGUGGAAUAUGAAUAUGGGGGUUGUAGAAAACCGAAUAGACGAUAGAUUUCCUGUCCCAUGAAACCCCCGAACAAUUAGCUCUAGACGAAUCACUUUCCAAUCGAUGAUAGAAUGAUACUAUCGUAUCCGAAGGAAAAGAUUCGAUAAUUUCGAUCAUUCUUUACGAUCGAAUUAGAAAAAAAUUUAAUUGUUUCAUGAUAAAAGAUUCUAUUUUAUUUAAAUGGUAUUUCGGUAUAAUUUUUUGGAAGACAUUUCAGGGAAGUCCAAACGCACUUUUAUUCUAUUUCAUAGGAUUGCAUAUUUUUCAUUGCAACGCGUCAGAAGGGUGAGCGUGCAAUUUCGAAACAUCAAAAGUCAAACACGAUUCGAUGACAUGAAAGCGUCGUAAAAUAGCACUUCUACUAUGUCAAUUUAAACAACAAACUUUGAGCUUCAAAUUGAUAUGCCGUAAGCGCUAUUUCACAAUAUUUUUGUCAUAAAAUUCAUGACGAAUAAAUCCAUCGUCGAAUGUCAGAUAAAAAUUCACUGCUGCAUUGAUACAAUUGAUCACACUUGAAAUAAUCAAUUUCUGCUAAUGGAAGAGAUUUAUAUUAACGAAAGAUUCGAGUAAUUAUCUUUUUAAUACGAUAGAAUCGGUUGAAAAAUGUCUGAUCUCUUGACGAAGAAUUUUUUUUUUAAUUGCUCGACAUUGAGUAUACGUCAUAUCCCGUUUCACCUGUUGCCGUCGUUGCAAUUCAACAGAGAAAAAUUGCGAAAGGGGAGCACGAAGCGAGGCACGCUAUCAUAGUGAGGGGUAAGGAGGUAAAAGAAAAAAAAAAAAAAAUAAA